GGGAGGUGGAUAUAAAGGUCACAGUAACCCACACAGCUUUUGUGACUUAACUGUCAGUAGCAUUUUUCAACAAAUGUGAAGAGUGUUUAAAGAGAAAUGGUUAUAUAAAAGAACCACAAAGAAUUCAAGAAGUGUCCAAGUAAACACAAUCUGGAUCUUCAAAAACAGAAUUCUAUUUUUAAGUAAUGUAUUUAGUAGCAAUCUUUUGUUUGGUUAACCUAAAUUAGA
rnacentral:lncRNA from 11 species